rnacentral:rRNA from 1 species
UACGGAGGGAGCUAGCGUUGUUCGGAAAUACUGGGCGUAAAGCGCACGUAGGCGGCGCAGCAAGUCAGGGGUGAAAUCCCGGGGCUCAACCCCGGAACUGCCCUUGAAACUGCAGUGCUAGAAUUCUGGAGAGGCGAGUGGAAUUCCGAGUGUAGAGGUGAAAUUCGUAGAUAUCGGGAGGAACACCGGUGGCGAAGGCGGCGACCUGGGUAGAUACUGACGCUGAGGUGCGAAAGCGUGGGGAGCAAACAGG